GCAAUGCCGCGUGCAGGACGAAGGCCUUCGGGUUGUAAACUGCUUUUGUACGGAACGAAACGGCUCUCUCUAAUACAGGGGGCUAAUGACGGUACCGUAAGAAUAAGCACCGGCUAACUACGUGCCAGCAGCCGCGGUAAUACGUAGGGUGCGAGCGUUAAUCGGAAUUACUGGGCGUAAAGCGUGCGCAGGCGGUUUUGUAAGACAGAUGUGAAAUCCCCGGGCUCAACCUGGGACCUGCAUUUGUGACUGCAAAGCUAGAGUACGGCAGAGGGGGAUGGAAUUCCGCGUGUAGCAGUGAAAUGCGUAGAUAUGCGGAGGAACACCGAUGGCGAAGGCAAUCCCCUGGGCCUGUACUGACGCUCAUGCACGAAAGCGUGGGGAGCAAACAGGAUUAGAUACCCUGGUAGUCCACGCCCUAAACGAUGUCAACUGGUUGUUGGGUCUUCACUGACUCAGUAACGAAGCUAACGCGUG
rnacentral:rRNA from 1 species